rnacentral:rRNA from 1 species
AUUGAACGCUGGCGGCAUGCCUUACACAUGCAAGUCGAACGGCAGCAUAGGAGCUUGCUCCUGAUGGCAAGUGGCGAACGGGUGAGUAAUAUAUCGGAACGUGCCCUAGAGUGGGGGAUAACUAGUCGAAAGACUAGCUAAUACCGCAUACGAUCUACGGAUGAAAGUGGGGGAUCGCAAGACCUCAUGCUCCUGGAGCGGCCGAUAUCUGAUUAGCUAGUUGGUGGGGUAAAAGCUCACCAAGGUGACGAUCAGUAGCUGGUCUGAGAGGACGACCAGCCACACUGGGACUGAGACACGGCCCAGACUCCUACGGGAGGCAGCAGUGGGGAAUUUUGGACAAUGGGGGCAACCCUGAUCCAGCAAUGCCGCGUGAGUGAAGAAGGCCUUCGGGUUGUAAAGCUCUUUUGUCAGGGAAGAAACGGUUCUGGAUAAUACCUGGGACUAAUGACGGUACCUGAAGAAUAAGCAUCGGCUAACUACGUGCCAGCAGCCGCCGUAA